UACACAUUUAUUCAGAUAUCACAAAUAGAAAAUUCUUCUCUUUUACUGAAAGUCUUGCAUCUAUUUUACACAAUAUGUAAAAGAACCAUAUAAUUAUUCUAUUCACUACUACUUCUCUGGCUCUAAUUUCUUUUUGUUUUUAUGCGAUUUCCACUUACGUCGGUUGUACGUGGGGCCGGUUGAGAUCCUUUCGCGCUUAGGUGCCGAAUGCUCGAGCUUACGUCGUUCUUUCUUAUUGUGCUUCUUCAGAGUCAGCAGAUAUUCCGGUACAUAACAUCCGGAAUCGCGUAUGAUUGUCGCAAUACUAGAAGAGAAACAAGGCACGCAAUACUUUAUAUAUCAUUGCUUCAUUGUGAUACAUACAACUUGGACACAAGAGACAGUAUAACACACGUACCUCCUACCAUCAAUAUGCAAAAUAAUUCACAAAAGAGGUGUGUCAAAGUUCCUGUUUGGAGUAUGCUUAACAAUAGCAGGAGGAAGGAGAAUCAACUCCAACGCGUAAUAUUCCACACAUUAUAAAGAAAUGGGAUAACAUUGACCCAAGUAUCCAUUGAUAUAUACCUAUUCUGUGAAUGUAAGAGAUAACGGAUGGCGGGAAAUCGUAAUUUAUAACGAGAUUUACGCCUUUGAAGUCUAUACCUCUACCCAUUAGUUCUGUACAAAUCAAGACCCAGAUAUGUCCUUCUCUGAAGCCGCGUACGGUAUUGUCCCGCUGGAAAAAUAAAAUAUGAUAAAUGCA